rnacentral:rRNA from 1 species
AUGGCUAAUCAAGAAGAUUUUAAUGCUUAUUUUGGUAGACAAUUAAAAUAUAAUUCAAAUAUGCUUGGACACUUGGGUGAUUAUAUGGCUAAUGUCAAAGGUGAACUUAAACUUAUUAGUAAACAUGCUUCUAUGGUUACCACUCAAGUAGAACAAGUACUUAAAGCUCAAAAUGAUUUGCUCAAUGAAUUGAAUAGUAAAGAUAAUGAUUAUGCUGUUAGAGUGGCUACUAGAACUGGUAGAAUGACUCAAGAACCUUUGUAUCAUGAAGGCCAUCCUAAGAGAAUUGAGCAAGAUUCUCAGAGAAAUAAUAUAGAUGCACCUAGUUCGUCUAAAAAGAAGAAAAAGAAAAAUGAUAGGACUUUGCAUGCUUCUAGUGAUCCUAUUGUUGAAACACAUGAGAAUCCAAAUGAUAUUUCUAUUUCUGAUGCUGAAACUCAACCUGGUAAUGAACCUGAAACUAUUGAUAAUGCUAAUAAUAUUGUUCAUAAUGAUGCUCAACCUAGUAAUGAUAAUGACAUAGAAAUUGAACCUGCUAUUGAUCUUGAUAACCCACAAUCAUAA